GACGAACGCUGGCGGCGUGCCUAAUACAUGCAAGUAGAACGCUGAAGGAGUGGCUUGCUCUUCUGGAUGAGUUGCGAACGGGUGAGUAACGCGUAGGUAACCUGCCUUGUAGCGGGGGAUAACUAUUGGAAACGAUAGCUAAUACCGCAUAACAGUAGAUGUUGCAUGACAUUUACUUAAAAGUUUCAAUUGCAUCACUACCAGAUGGACCUGCGUUGUAUUAGCUAGUUGGUGGGGUAACGGCUCACCAAGGCGACGAUACAUAGCCGACCUGAGAGGGUGGUCGGCCAGACUGGGACUGAGACACGCCACAGACUACUACGGGAGGGAGCAGUAGGGAAGCUUCGGCAAUGGACGGAAGUCUGACCGAGCAACGCCGAGUGAGUGAAGAAGGUUGUCGGAUCGGAAAGCUCGGUUGUAAGAGAAGAAAGAGUGUGAGAGUGGAAAGUUCACACUGUGACGGUAUCUUACAGGAAAGGGACGGCUAACUACGUG
rnacentral:rRNA from 1 species